CCUCCGUUGCAUGGUUCGGUUUCGAAUCCUCGGGAAGUUGAAACCUCGAACGGCGAAUUUUUCCAUACGCCGCGACGCCGCGCCGCGCCGCGCCGAAGCCCUAGCCGGAGCUCCGCCGCCGCCGUUUCCGGACACCGCUCCUCCUCCCGCCGCGGGCCGCCGCCGCCGCCGUCCUCUCGCGCUCCGGCCGCAGGGCCUCCGGGGGAGGGAAUUGGCCUCCUGUAUGUGAGCUCCGGCGGGGAAUCUGGCGGCCGUCGGGAUUGGCGUUGAGGGCGGGGCGGCGCAGCAGCUGCGGGGCAUGGCGGAGGGCAGGUUCCGCGUGGGCUACGCGCUCCUGCCGAAGAAGCGGGAGAGCUUCAUCCAGGACUCGCUCGUCGCGCUCGCGGGGUCCCGCGGGGUCGAUCUCGUGAGGAUCGACGCCGGGCGGCCGCUCGUCGACCAGGGGCCCUUCGACUGCGUCCUCCACAAGCUGUACGGCGAGGACUGGAGGCGCCAAUUGGAGGAGUUCACGGCGAGGAACCCUAAUGCGGUGGUCCUGGAUUCGCCGGACGCGAUCGAGAGGCUCCACAACCGCAUUUCCAUGCUCCAGGUCGUAUCGGAGCUCCGGGUCGAGAGCGAGAGCGAGUCGUUCGGGAUCCCGAACCAGAUUGUGAUCUACGACAAGGAGACGCUGGUCGAUAAGCAUGCAUGGGCGUCGCUGAAGUUCCCGGUGAUUGCGAAACCCUUGGUCGCCGACGGGAGCGCCAAAUCGCACAAGAUGUCGCUCGUGUUUAACCACGACGUGCUGCACAAGCUCAAACCGCCCAUUGUGCUGCAGGAGUUUGUGAAUCACGGUGGGGUCAUAUUCAAAGUCUAUGUCGUCGGCGAGUAUGUGAAAUGCGUGAAGCGCAAGUCCUUGCCUGAUGUUACAGAGGAGAAGCAGGGGUCUCUCCAGGGGUGUUUGUCGUUCUCGCAGGUGUCCAAUUUGACAACGCAGGAAAAGAAUGACGAUAAGUAUUAUAGGUCGAUGCAUUUGGAGGACGCGGAGAUGCCUCCUCAGAGUUUUAUGACGGAGAUCGCAAAGGGCUUGAGGCGGGCCAUGAAGUUGAAUUUGUUUAACUUCGAUGUGAUAAGGGAUGCCAGAAAUGGUCACCGAUACUUGGUUAUUGACAUUAACUAUUUCCCUGGAUACGCAAAGAUGCCCAAUUACGAGCCUGUUUUGACUGAUUUUUUCUGCGACUUAGCCCAAAAGUCGGGGAAGAAUCUGGCGAAGUGCUCCGGCAAGGAGGAUUGCUCUGAGAAGAGCAAGUUUUGAUAUUCGAACUGUGCAGAGUUGUGACAAGAAGGUGAGGAAAUUUGUGAGUAAUGCUUGCAGUAGUGAUGAGGAUGAUGGUGGCCUUCCAAUUUCGCCUCAAUCAAGCCUGGCACAGUGCGUAGAAGACCCAUGAACAAUGAAUUCCUUGUUCGUUCCUCUGAUGGAUCCUCUGAUGGAUUUGUGUUGCUGGAAACAGGUCCACUUCAGGAGGCCUUUUGCUGAUUGGUGACUGAAGUCGUUCGCGCCUUUUAGAUGGAUUUUGGACAGCGGUGAAUAAGUAGCCGUAUCUUGACUUCUAGUUCAAGCUUCUUGACGAUCAAAUGUCACAAACUUGACACUUGUCUCAAGUUUUCCAAGACGCGUACAGUGCUGGUUUAUGGUCUCAUCAUCGUGGUCUGGUGGAAAGACCUGUUUGACUUCCUAGUUGCUCAGGCUGAUGAUUUGGCAACAGUCCACUCUUGCAGGUAAGCAGGUUUUGUUGUUGCAUGUUAAAUCCAUGGUGAUGAUUGUGGACACAUGGAUGAUGGAUAAGAGCAAUAUGCUAAUUGAAGUACCUCUAACAUUAUUCUAUGGAUUAUUGCACUAUUUGCACUUUCUAGUGAGGUUCCAAUGUUGGAGAAUGACUGCCAUUUGCCACCCAUAAUUAGCUGAGGAAAUGAAAAGAUUCAAUGCAAGGUGGCUGAGUCAAUCUGAUACUUAGAGCUUCCUCACUAGCGAGUGCUUCAGUUAUGUCGCGAACCGAGAGGUCCCUUUUUGCACUGCACAACUUGGAUUGCUAGAAAGCAAAACAAAUCCUCUACAUUUUAGAAGGGAGAAUUUCAAAAGAAUGGAUAUUUAUAAGUCUCUACGUCAUCAGAAAUACCCAGAGGCCUCACAGUGUCUGUCAUUGUAGCUGUCAUUGUUCUGUUCUCUUGAGGGUCUUUCAGGCCCCAAAAGAUCCAUUAGUGAUGACUGCAGCCGGCAGGUGAUGAGGGUUAAGGUCAAAGAAACUUGACAUCCUUACGGAUUGGAGAAGUUCAGAUGAUAAGGAGAGAAGCCAUGGUGUAGCUAACGGAUUGUUCUAGGACUGCUGCCUCAAUGCGGCUCAAGCUAAUCUCGAUGUUGAGCAGCUAUAUGCAUUACAGGUUAUGGGUUUUAGCACGUUACCAAAUAGAACUGGUAAUUUACGGAAUUCCCUCACUCUGAAAUUGUCUUAAUCUCACUGCAUAAUCACCAAUCGCCGAACUGAAUUCUAAUUGACAGAACCAGGAGGGCAAAAAUCAAAUGGGAUAGUGACCUCAAGCUGGUCACCUUUUGUCAUUUGAGUCCUUUCGAUAGGCAUGUUGGACGGAAAAUUCGUAGCAGUUUUGUUCUCUCGGUUUUUGCUAAAAAUGUGGCAUUGACGUGGUUCCACACGGAUGGCACGACAGAAAAAAAGUGGAAUAAAAAGGGACGCAUAAAGAGAGAGAGGGGUCGAGAGGGAGGAGGCCGCGAGCGAUGGGUGGCAACCUCUGGCAGAAUACCUCAACUCGUGAUGUCAUUAAUUCAAAUCAGGCCAAAUAACUCACUUUCGGCAGAAUAGUCUUUAGCAAACCAAAUUCUCUGUGCCAAUCAGGCAAAAAAUACAGUGGAUGUUGCAUGAACUUGGACACCCCCGACACCAUGCAUAAGUCACAUCUUUAGCAGCCUGGAAGUAAGAAAAGGAUCUAUCUUCUAACGUGAUCCUUUCGCUCAUAUAAACGCCAGCCAUCAUUUUCAGCAACUACAAAUGAGCCGACCCUUGUGCCUCCACUCCUACCCAGAGAAGGGCAGAAAUGAGCAAUUUAGUCCCAGGGUGUGACGAACUGGCCCUUUGAAUCUUUUCCGAGGUGUAGUCUAAUGGAUCAAAAUGCAGGGCCAACAGCUGUACUCAACAGAAGGGACAAACCAUGGUGUGAUCAGAUACUGAUGUGUAGCUGAAUUAAAUUUUCUUUGGAGGGGCGUAUGAAUCACUGGUGUUCUUCCUCUAGUUUUUUUUUUUUUUUAAUAUAGUGAGAGAAUCCUACGCAUCAUCCCCAUCCACCUCUGGUUUCACAAAGAACUCCACAUAAGCAAUUCGACUGGGUUGCUGAUAG